rnacentral:lncRNA from 1 species
GCUGGUGCUGGUGCAGGAGGCCAUUAUGCUUCUAAUUCUGAUGGUGACGGUGGUGAUGAUGAUGCUAAUUCUGGUGGUGGCUGUGUUCCUGUUCUUGGCGGUGGUACAAGUGAGUGUAAGCUUCCUGUUGUUGGCGGUGGUGCAGAUGGCGAUAGUGAUGAUAAUCUUGAUCCUGGUGUUGAUGUUGGUGGUGAAGCAGGAAUAUUUAGGGUUGUUAUUGGUGGAGGUGAGAAUGGAGUUUCAGGUGGUGGAGUCGGUUUUAGUAUUGGUGGUCUUCCUCAACCUUGACAGUGCUAUCUGUCUCUGUCUGUAUGGCAUUUCCACUUCCUACCAUAAUAUAAUAAUAAGUGCAGAAAAGGAUCCAUUGUUUUGUAAUGUAUCUAUAUAUAUUAUGUGUUGUUCCUUCUUACUCAAGGGAUAUCACACGGUAUUUCAUAUUCAUUUGUUGAGCACUAUCAACCAUUAAUCAACUUUAUUUAUUAUGAGUGACUACAAAAUUAAAUAAUGUCUCAAUUGAGACGACCAAAUUAACUUUAAACUUACAUUCUUAAACGAAAAAAAGAAGAAAAAAACAAAAGAGAGACACCUAGGUUUAGAGAGAAACGUGUGCUUAUAUCUUAGAGGCUUAAUCAUCACCACAUACGUUAUCAAUUGUCAUCCACAUCCAUACAUACACAAUUAUGGACUCAAAUACAUCUAUAGAAUAUAACAAUAAAAUAAACAAUUACUACAACAAUAAAAUCAAUAUGUUGUCAAUUUAAAAAAGAUUUUGUUGUUGUAAAAAAAAUCUCACAAUACUAAAAUUUAAAUUGAAUGUUAUUAGUAGUUGAAAAAACCUUCACAAAUUGAAUAUUUUAUUUAGCUGAAUGUAAUUUUUUUGGCGACAAAAAACAAUCAUUAAAAAUGUUACAGUAAAAAGUUAUUUGGAUUUGUAAUAGUCUACACUCUCACAAUUGGUUUGACUCAUUGAAAAUUUUAGCAAGAAUUUGUGACGGCAUAUACCAUCAUAAAGACCACCAUAAAAUGCAUUGUCAUUUAUAACCGAUUAUGAUUAUGACAGUGUUAUAAAUCAUUCAGAUAGUGUUAUACAUCAUUCAGAUACUUUAUCAGCCUUUUGCUUGUCUGAUCUUCAUGCUAGUAAGGAUAUGUCAAUUUUUUUGGCUAAGUGACAAAGUAUUUAAUGUAGCAUAUGUUCACGUGUUGAUAAACUACAUUGGAGUCAAUUUAUUUAAAUUGAUAUUGACAAUGUGUAUUAUUUUUUUUAAUAAAAACAUAAAUAUAGUUUAUCAUAGCAUUUUUUUAACUUCGAGACAACCUUCUGUUUAUAUACAUUCAAAUUUUGCAUCAUGAUUUCAAAAACAAGUACAUCUCCAAAAACUAACUCAUAUCAACAUCCACAUGAUGCACUUAUCUAUGGGACUGAGUAGAAGCUUCAAAGAAUGACACAUUUACUAUGUCAAUGGAUACAAAUUUCAUAUUGAAUCUUGGACUAAAGGAAAAAAAAAAACAAUAAAUAAUAGAGUGUGUAUGUAGAGUGUGUCUAAUAGUGGUGUAAUAGAAGUCUUCUAGGGUAUAAUUGAACAUAUUUACUAAUUUGACUUCACAUUUCUAUACUAUGCAAAAACAGUGAUGUUGUUUUACUGUAAGUAGUUUGAUCCUUCGAGCAGAGGAACUAAGAUCAAUUUGAUGACCAACAUUGGAGACAUUUGUUUGAGCAAAAGAUAUGCAUUGUUUGAUUUGUUUGCCAUGACCCAUAAUAUAAGACAAGUGUAUUAUGUUCUUUAUCCAUAUGCAAUCAGACAUAAACAAUACCAACAAGUGAAAUUGAAGAAGAUGAAGCAAAUUAUAAUGAAUAAGUUGCAUAUCAUAUGGAUGAAAUGUCAAAUGUGGAUCGUGUGAUUGGAGAUGAGACUAUUAGUCGACAUUAUCGCAAGUUAAAUACUUGAGAAAUAGUUGACGAACAAGAAAUAGAAGAAUUAGAGGAUGAUGAAGACAAUAACUUAAUUCACUCAUCAAAUGACGAUGAUGAUGUCGACAAUUAAUUAAGUAAGUAAAAUGUAUAUGUGUAUAUAUAAUUAUAUUGUAUUGUGAAAUGUGAACUACAAUAAAUAUAUAUACCAGCUAUGCCAACAAUUGGCUUGAUUAGACCACAUUUAGAUCAACUUCAAUCAAUUAUGGCUCCGUCAAUUAGUGGUAGUGUCCUUGAAGAUGAAAUACAAUUUCAAAUUAUGUUGCCUCCACUACCACUAAUUAAUACUUAUGAGAGACUUUUAUAAUUGAAUAAUAUUCCACCAAAUAACGAUGGAGGAAAUUGAGCUAAUAAUAAGAGUAAUUAUUAUGAUCAUUGAUGUAUUAUAUUAAUAAUCAAGAAUAUAAUUUUAUAUAAUAAAUUCAAAAAUUAUUAUUUAUAUGUAAUAUGAUAAUUAAUAUUUACUUAUAUUUUAUAUAUUUUCUUAUAUAUUCAUUUGAAUUUAUUGAUUAAACAUCAAAUUGUUUUAAUGUUUUAUAAAAAUUUAAGGAACUGAUCUAAUAAAUAAGGAAUUUUAAUUUGAUGUUUGAAUAAGUAAUUCAAUGUCUAUAAACGUUAUUUAUUCAUGAAGUAAUUUGACCCCAUAAAAAAUAAAAAUAAAAUAGAAGAAUAAUCGAGAAUAUUGUUAAGAACUAAAGGCAUUUUUUUUUUAAUUCGGUAGCAAAACUUGAGGCAUUAUUGUUUUUAUAUAUGUAUAUGGAUGGAAAGUAUGGGUGCAGAAUUUAAUUGUAACUUUUAUAAAAUAUGUGAUAACUUUUAUAAAUGAAUUGUGUAAAUUUAAAUUUUAUCGUAAUUUAAAAUUUGUAUUAAUAUAUUUUUAUGAAUUAUAUAUAUAUAUAUAUAUAUAUAUAUAUAUAUAUAUAUUUGUAAAAAAAAUAAAAAUAAAAUAGAAGAAUAAUCGAGAAUAUUGUUAAGAACUAAAGGCAUUUUUUUUUUAAUUCGGUAGCAAAACUUGAGGCAUUAUUGUUUUUAUAUAUGUAUAUGGAUGGAAAGUAUGGGUGCAGAAUUUAAUUGUAACUUUUAUAAAAUAUGUGAUAACUUUUAUAAAUGAAUUGUGUAAAUUUAAAUUUUAUCGUAAUUUAAAAUUUGUAUUAAUAUAUUUUUAUGAAUUAUAUAUAUAUAUAUAUAUAUAUAUAUAUAUAUAUAUAUUUUUGUAAAAACAUUGAAAAAAAUUAUUUUUUAAAAAAAUUGAUUCAUAAAGUCGCAAUUUAAAAUGCGGGCUUCCAUAAGGAAGUCGCCAUUCCAAAUGGCGACUUGUAACUUAAAAAAUAAAUUAGUUAAUAAUUUUCAAAAGGAAGUAUUUGGAUAAAUUAUUUUGAAAAUAGGGUUAUUAAAAAAAAAGCCAACAAAUGGAUCAUAGUCCUUUUUAUUAAAAGUCAUGGUCGGCUCAAAACAUGGAAAAUUUAAAACGAAUUAUAAGAUAAGCUUUAAUGCGAAUUUUCUAAAUUUUAACUUGACAUCACUAAAUUAAUAUAAUUGAUGUCGUGUAACAUUUAUUUUUCAAUUGAUUUAAUAUUAUGGAAACAACACUAAAUUUAGAAAUUAUUUAUAUAUUUUAAUUUUAAAGAUAUUAAAAUAUGAUGCUUUUUAUUUAAGAUUUUUUUUAAGACAAAUUUUUUUUUUUUUUUGAAAUUGUGAAUUUUUUUUAUUUUAUAUAUUUUUUAUGAUACAUAUUUACAUACCAAAAAAUUUCAAUUUGAAAUUUCCAUUACACUUAUAUAAUUGGAUUAUUCAGAUACACUUGUCUAAUUGAACAAGUAUUGAAUGGUAGUAAAAUGGAGAGAAGCAAGACUAAGAUGAAGAUAGAGAGUAUUGAGGAAUGUGUUCUCAUAGCUGAAUGAGAAGAUCCAAAAUCAUGGACAAAGUAGAUGUGUAUUAAUUAUAAAGUAACCUAACAAAUUUCAUAUAACUAUUAAGUAUCUUUUAACUACUUUUAAGAGUCUCUACAAGUUGAAAAUAUAUAACAACAUUUUUAACUUAGAAAGUGAAAUACAAUACAAGAAAAAGAAAAAUACAAUACAAUUAAUGAAUGAAAAUUACGAGAAAAAGAAUACAAGUCACAAUCACAUCGAUUAAACAACAAAGUUCAUUUACAAAGUGGUAGGGCCGAGAUGUAUAACUCUUGUUGAAGUCUUCGGCCUACUUUGAACUAAUUUGAAAAUCUUUUGGUUUUUCACGACACUCACUCUAAUAUAAAAUCAAUAAUCUCAAUAUUGGAUUUUCAAAUGUCAAAUUUGACAUACAGAACUUAACCAUCAUAGGAUGGAAGCACAAAGAGAAUGAAAAAUGUAUAAUACCAUAAAAUAAAAGAACAUAGAAGUUGAUAAUUACUAUACUAUCAUAUGGUAGAAGCACAAAGAGAAAAUCAAUAAUGGCUAAAAAUAAUGAAAUUAUUGUGAAAUAUAUCACUAAAGAACAUAAUGAUUAAUGAACAAUAUGAAACAUUCAAAAAAUCACAAAAUAUUUUCAAUCUUGAAUCUUCAAAUAUUAUACAACCAAGUCGAGAAAUACUAAAAAAUCACAAAUUUAGAUUCAAAAUGAGGAGGAAAAGAUAAAGAAAAUUUGAAAAAAAUGUAGCGGAAUAAUUAUUAUUGUUCUAAUACCAUGCUGAGAAUUAUGGUAACGAAAGAGAAAAAUAAUUAAAGAGAAAUAUAAAUUUCAAAUAAUUAUUUGAAGAAUGGUUAUACAAUUAAAGUAUGAUGCACAUUUAUAUAGUGUUUUUAACGUAACUAACCUAAAAUUUCAUCGAACUAUAAGUAUCUUUUAACUACCUCUAACUUCAAAAAUAUAUUGUAUAUUGUUAAUUUUGGCUAAUCUCUAUGGUUAAUAUAUGUAAAAAAAUAUUCAUAACUUAGUGGCAAAGAAAAAUAAGAAUAUUUAACUAUCUUACUAUAUUUAAUGACUAUUGUGUAACUCUUGUAUGACACAGAGAUAAAUCAUGAUAUUGAAAAAUAUAUUGCUCUACUAAUAUAUAUACAUAUCAAGAAUCAACUCAGCUCUCAUUCAUACUAUGGUUUUUGUGUGUAGAUCUUAUAUAUAAUUUCUCUUUAAAAAUAAUUUAAAUGAAGAUAAUAAUUUGAAUCUCAUAAGACAAAAAUAUGCUUUCAAUCUUAUACACGAUAAACAAGUAACUAAUUACUACAAAAAAGAUUUAAUUGUCAAAGAAGUUUCAUCUACACGUUUAAAAAUUGUUGAAAAAUUCAUUCUACAUACUAUCUUUAGUGUCGGCACAUAGAUUUCUUUCAUCAUCAGAAAUAAGAAUAAUCAAUCAUUUCUUGAUUGUACCUUUAGAAUAACCACAUAGAAAUGACCACAAGUAAAUACAGUUUUAUCAUUGGAGUAAAAUAUUGAGUUAAAAAAAAUGAAGUAUAAUCAUGCAAAUUUCUAUAAGUCAAUAUACAACUAUCAUUUGAUUAAACUUGCAUUUAAAGAUGCAACAAUAAUUUUGAAGAUAUGGCUUUGGAUUUUAGGACGAUGAGGAGAAUGAACAAUAUUGAGAAAAUUGAAGACACAAAUGCAAACAUAAUUCUUGAAAAGCAUCUUAAGAAAAAAUAACUAAAAGAUAACUUGAAGAAACUUCGAACAGUCAACUACAAUAGUAUACCACAAUACAUUAGUAGAUGUUUUCAAGUACUCAUGACAAUCAAAAGAAUGAGUGAGGCAAAACUAUAUAAGACCAAGCUAUUCAGAAAAUACAAAAAUAAGUUCAGUAGAGUUUAAUGGCUGAAAAUCAUGUAUGUAAAUAAAAGACCCCUAACACAAUAACUAUUCAAUUAUUGAUAUGUAUCAUCCUGAAGAAAAUAAAUGCACUGGCAAUUAAAACAUAUUGCAUUUCUUUGUGCUUUUUCUCAAGCAUUUGUAUCUCCAUUUCAAAAACAUAAGAUAUUAUCAAUAAUGACAUCAAUUAUAGAUGUCUUUUUUUUAUCUUGUAAUUAUAGUUAUUAAACUUGCAUAAAUCGAACAAAAAUAUACUCUUUGCUACCUGCAAAUAUUUUUUUCCCUUUUAUUCUGCCAUUGCACGAGCUAUAGAGAAAAAAGAGGAUGAAAAACAAUAUCAAAAGAAAAAUAAAGAGGGUAACGUAAAUCUCCUCGGUCAUUAGAGAAAGAAACACAAAAAUUAUAUGUGAAAUUUUAAAAUAAAUCAAAAAAUAACUGGUGAAGAAAAAGAGUAAAAAUAACGGUACAAUUGUUUGGUUGGUAACCAUCCAAACAAAAUUCUACAUGCCGAGGUAACCUACAAGUCGUUGAGGUAGAAUGGUCAAUACUGGGUUAAGUUGCAAAAGAGUGAAAUUGAGUUUUGUUUAGCUUCUUCUAAGUGGAUUGAUUACAAUGAACUUCACACUAAAACUGAGUACUAAGUAAUAUAAAAUUGAACAAGUGUCUUUGCUAAAACUGAAACAUUGAAUUCUGAAUAGUUAAAAAAAUUUGAGUUCGUAGGAUUUUCUAAGUUGUUGUGUUGUUUUUUCUUCUUAGAAUUGAUCCCUUUAUAUAGCAUGAAUUAGAGUUUCAAUAUUGUCUCAAACAAAUUAUCAAUGUAUCUUCCUUGCCCGAGGUCAACAUAGAUCUUCAUAAAAAAAUAAACUUUGAUAGAUACAGUUUAGGAAUAUAAUUGUUGAAGUUUGAUUAAUUCCAAAACAAAUCUUCAACCAAAUCAUUGAGAAAGAUUUCGUACGAAAAUGUUUAGAUAACACUUGAAAAUAAUUCUGUUUGAAUCUUCUGAGUGUAUCUUCCUUGCACAAGCUCAAUAGAGAUCUUCACAAAAAGAUAAACAUUGAUAGAUACGGUUCGAGAAUAUGAUCAUUUAAGCUUGAUUAAUUUCAAAAUGAAUCUUCAACCAAAUCUUCUUGAAUGAUUUUGUGCGAGAAUGUCCAAAUAACGCUUGAAAAUAACUCUCAUUGACUCUUCUUUCAUACGCUUGUUCAAGAGCAGCGAUAACAUAUCAAAAUCAAUUAUUGGACCUUCAGAAUCACGAAACAUCUCAGUCACCAUCAGCAUCGAAUUUUCAUAAGAACCAUUGACUUUCUUCAUCAUAAGAUAACUUGAUUAUCAGAGUCAGAUGUUAUGUUGCUUGGUUCAGGUAGUCAGAGGCAGAGACAAAAUUGCAUGACUUAGAAUUAGUGGCAAGUGCAACGUCACUCUGUUGAAUCUUCAGAUCAUUUUGCGUAUUAGAGGCAACAUCUUGGGACAAGUUGUAGUCUUUAGAACAAGCAGAAUGUGAGUUUCCGAGAAAACUCAAAUAGAAGCUUCAGAGUUGCUGUAGUGGGUGCUUUAGAGGCAUGCUUCAAACUUCAAAGGCAAACACACAGAAGCUUUAGAGGCACACUAGAUAGACGCUUCAAAGACAAAUCUUCAGAGGCAAAUGCACACAAAACAAUGCGUGUAAUAACCAAAGUCUGAACAGUGUGUUGACUUCACUUGACUCUGAUGUGUUCAUUUACUUUGGCAUCUUCGUUUCCUCUGACAUAUUCACUUCCUCUAAUAUUGUUUCCUAUGUUUCCUGGUUCUAUUUACGACAUACUCAAUGAAAUUAUUAAUGUAAUAAAUUUGUCUUAUAAAAUAUUUUUGUUAUCAUCAAAACAUGUCCAAAGAAUUAUUUUUAGAACCAACAUAGUUCCAAUUGUUGUUUUUUUUUUUUUUUUUUUAUCUUGAAGGGGUAGAACUUGAAUGUUAUACCUACAAUUACAACACUAGCAAAAAAAAAAAAUAAAAUAAAAUAAAACUCAAUUAUAGUUAUUAAACUUGCAUAAAUCGAACAAAAAUAUACAACUCGGUAACUGUAAACAAAAAUAUUUUCCUUUUACUUUGCCAUUGCAUGAGCUAUAGAGAAAAAGGAAGAUAGAAAACGAUAUCAAAAAAAAAAUAAAGAAGUAAUGUAAAUCUUAUCGAUCAUUAGAAAAAGAAACACAAAAGUUGCAUGUGAAAGUUUAAAAUAAAUUAAAAAACAAUAAAUGAAGAAAAAUAAUAAAAACCACGGAACAAUUGUUGGUCAAUAACCAUCCAAACAAAGUUCUACAUGCUAAGGUACUUUCUCAAAAGUAUAUUGUAUAUUAUUAAUUUCGACUAUUAUCCCUAUAAAGGGAAAAAAGUGAAGAAAAUAUGGUUUUUUUUAGGUUUAAUUGCAGUUUUGGUCUAUUUAUUUUAGCUGAAUCGCGAAAGUAGUCUUUCCAUUUUGUUUCUCCCCACUUUUGGUCCUCCAAACACCAUUUUGAUCCAAAACUUGAUAAAAUUUCAUUUUUUAAAGUCAUAUUACACUAUUUAUGAUCAUAGAUUUCAGGUACAAUUGUUGUACAUGAGAUCUUGAGGCAUUGUGUGACUUAAAUAAAUGCAAAAAUAAAAUAAAAUUUCAUCAAGUUUUAGACUAAAAUUAUGUUUGGAGACCAAAACUGGAGAGAAACAAAAUGAGGGACUACUUUCGCGAUUUAGCUAAAAUAGUGGGACCAAAACUGCAAUUAAACAUUUUUUUUAUUAUUAUCAAGAAUGGUUAAUUGUGUUUUUAUUUUUAUUUGUCUAUAAUGGUUCUUAAAUUCCAAAAAAAAAAAAAAAAACAUUUUUUUGUUGUUGCAAUAGGCGCAAGAGACGUUGCUACAAAUUAAUGUCAUAAAUAUAGAAUCAAUUAACAUAUUAUGAUAAUUGAAAAGGCACCUUGCACAUUAAACCAAUAUUUGCAUUCUUUCAGUGAAAACAAGCGCUAGCGUGCUUAUGAAGAUCGUUACUUUAAAAAAAAAAUUUCCUUCUAAAUAACAAAUAAAAAAAUAAUGAAAAUUACUACUAAUAGAAACAUUAUAUAAGAGAUAAACACUAUAAAUAAGUGACAAAUAUCACACUUGUCAUAAAAUAAACUUUGGUUUUAUUAUAAUGUAUAGAUGUAUAGAUAUCAUGAUUCAUAAAAUACUCUUUUUUAACACAUAUAAAAUACUCUUAAAUCAAUAUAAGUUUUAUUUUCCCAUAACUUUUUAAUUAUUAACAAACAAGUUUUCAUGAAUUACAAUUUUAGAAUAUUGUCAAAAAAAAUUCCAUGAAUGAGAUUAAUAUGGUUGGUACGUGUUUGAAUGAACAAUUAGUUAACUAAUUACAUUGGUUUAGGUUUCUUUCUUUGAAUGAACUGCAAUGAUUUAUUUUAUUUCAAAAAAAAUAACUAAUUACAUUCUUGUUUUUCUUUCAGAUUCAAAAUAAAUAUGGUGAGGUGGUGAAUGUUUGUUUAAAGAGAUGAGCUAGAACAAAGUCCUCUUUGAGAUUUGUUCAUAAGGUGUUAACAAAAUGGUUACUUUUUUCAUAAGGUGAUAACAAAAGGCUUACAAUUUGGUGAGGGAUUUGUGAAUGCGUGUGACCAUUUGUGAAUUCGGAUUUGUAUUAAUCUGAAUAAAUGAUUAAAUUUUAAAUAAUAUAUCAACGCUCCUUUCAAUCUAGCCAAUAAUUAUGUAGCAAGCAUUAUUAAUUAGAAUAACAAAAAAGAGUAGAAUGCAAAUAUUUAUAAACAAUGUGUGGGACAUGUUUCUCGGAUGAGUUAUAGUAAGGAGUAACAACAAGCAAAUGCAAUUAAGCAAAUUGAAAGCAACCUAACAUUGGAGAUUAUUAUAUAGGACUUGAGUGUGCAAAUAAAAUACAUGAGAGUGUUCCCCUUAGUGUUUUUUCAAAUGGAAUUUUAAUUGUCUUGCCUUUUUAGUGACAAUGGAUAUUCAAUAUAUUAGUAAUGGUAGAAUGUUUAUAAAUAGGUUAUUAGUCUUACAUUUCUCACCUAAUAUUUUAUAUACAUUAUUUAUAGUAGAAAAGUGAAAGUUUAGAAGAACCAAUAAUAUAGAAACUAAAAUCUUUUUCUUUUUUGCAACAAUGACUAGUAAUAAUUAUUUUGUGGGUCUAAUUUAUUCCACAUUUGAUUAACUAAUGUUUCUGAUUUUAAAUAUGUUAGUAAAUUUGAUUACAUCUUCUAUUAGACAUAUUAUAGAAAAUCAGUUAUAUAAAUUAAGUAUAAUAGUUAGUUAGUUAGUUAUGUUAAUUAGUUGUUAUAGAAAUUUUAUGUAUUUUUAGUAUUUAUUUCUACUAAAUUUUGUUAUGCAGGUUGAAGAUUUACUUAAAAUAAUCUCUUGCAUAUUUAGAUUAUUAAGUUGAUGAUAGUGUUAUUCAUAGUGAAAAAUCAUAUUCCCUUAACUGUUUUCAUGAUUGUAAAAUUAUGAUGUAUCCACUUAUAAUAAUUUAUUUGAAACUCGUCACCUUUAUUUAAUUUAUUGGAGUAUUUGAUUCUUCAAUUUUGUAAUUGUUAUUUGUGUUUUAAGAGAAUGAAAGUUGAAUUAUACAUAAAGCACUAACGUGUUGAUGAAGAAAAAUUGUAAUGGGGGAAUAAAAAAAAUGCUUUAAUAUUAAAAAAAAAUUCAAAAAAAUAUUGAGAUAGAAAUAAUAUAACCGAAUAAUUACUUUGAUAUCAUAUAAUUUGGGUAAAUUACAUUCGUGGUCCCUUAACUUAAUUUCAGGUAACGUUUUAGUCUCUUAUCUUUUUUUUUUUCCGAUUUAGUCAUUUAUUCCUAAUAAUAUCAAAUAAAGUAUGAAAAUAUGAGUUUAUUUGAAAAUUUGCGUUACGGAUUUGAUGAAAUUUGUAUUAUAUUGAAGAAUAUAAUUAAUUUUAUGAGUUUUGAUUGAUUUUUUUUUUUUGAAUUUUUGUUUAAAUAAGGAUAACGUUGUUGAAAUUUUAAAACAUAAAAUAUCAAAUUGUCAUUUAAAAUUAAAAUAAAUGACUAAGUCGGGAAAAAAAAUAGAUAAAUGACUAAAAUGUUACCUGAAAUUAAGUUAAAGGGCAAUUUAACCCAUAUAAUUAGUAGAGUAGUUUAAUACUUUCUUCCCAUAGAAAUAUGGCUACUUUUCCACGGUCAUAAUAUAUUUUUCAGUGAAUCCAUCACCGGUCUAAAGUAUUAAUCCUCCAAAGUUGAUAGUAUCAAAUAAAAUAUUAAUUAUUUAACUUUACUAUAUAUAGCUAGUUCACUAUUCAACUACUAUAUAUAGCUACUUCCCUAUUCAACUAACUACGAUAUUUUGGGUGGUUGUUUAAAAAUGAUUUUUAUGAAAAUUUAUUUGAAAAUAGUAUAAGUUUUUAGAUUUAUUUGUCAUCAAUUAAAAAAAUUAAUAAUUAAUAAUUUAAAUAUUUAUUAUUAAGAAUUUAACAUGAUAAAAAUUAAAUUUUUUUAAAUGAUUUUUAUAAAAAACUUUUCAAAAUUAUUUUUCGUUUGAAUUAUUUUUUGAAAUUUCAUUAUAAAAAAAUAUUGUAGAAAAUAAAUAAAGUACUUAAAUUAUAGUUUAAGAUAAACUAUUUAAAUUAAUUUUUCAUUUGAGGUUAUAUUUUUAAAAUAUUAUUACAAAAAGACAAAAUACAAAAAAAAAAUCAUUUAAAAAAAAAAAUCUUAAGCAUCCAUAUUAUUUAUCUAUAAAUUAAGAAAAAGUAUAGACUAACAACCAUAAAGCUACUUUUUCUUAUGAAUGAACGACGCAACUGUUAGUAAUCACACUCCAAUUGAGUGAAAUAUUUAAUUAAGCUCACUAAUUAAAUGGGCCAACUAUAUAACAAAAACACAAUUAUUAAGUCACCUACCAUCCAUUCCAUAUAAAGCUAUUGUAGGUAAUCAAGGAUUGUCUAGAUUUUAUGAGGCUGAAUUAACACUACAUCGGUUGUUCACGGUUCGGUUCAAAGGUCAAAAUAUCAUAUCAUUUAAAGAUAAAUCUAAAUAUAGUUUGGUUAGAAUAAGAUAUUUAAAAAAAAUCUGAUCCGAGUCAAUUAUACAAAUAGUUGAAUUGAGAUUGGAUUUUAAAUAUCUGAAUUACAGUAGUAAAAAUUUAUAUUAAUAUUAUAAAAAUAUAAUAAAAUAGUAUGUUUAUGCAAAAUUAUUACAUAUAAUACACUAUAAUUAUAGUUAAAUUGUACUUUUUAGUCUUAUAUGUUUUAUUCAAUUUUCGAAUAGGUCUUUUAUAAUUUUUAUGUAUUUAUGUUUUUGUGUGUCUGUAAAAUCGUCAUUUUUUGUUAGUUCCGUUAAAAAAAAUUCAUGUAGCCGUUACAAUGAUAACGUGUGUAUAAACGUAUUGGUGUGACAAAUUAUAAAAGUAAACGACACUUGAUAUUUAAGUUUUAAAAAAUAUACUAAUGAUCAUUUAAGUGUAAACUAAUUUUUGUUCCGACCUAAUCUUCAUCUUUUAUCUCUUAAUCAUCUUCCUCUUCCACUCAAUCUUUAAAAAAACUAAAAUUCAAAUUUCAUAAUUCCAAUAAAAAAAACUCAAAACGUUAGACCAUAUAAAUUAAAAAAAAAAUCAAAAUAAUAAAUUUAUCAUUCCGCCAAGAAGGAAAAAUAAGUUGUUGUAAAUAAAGAGAAAUUCAUCAUAAUUCCACUAAAAAAAUAAGUUGUUCGUAUAUACAGGAACUAGAUAAAACAUAAAGUAUUAAGAAUGCAAUUUAGCUUAAAUUUAUUAAGCUAAAUUAUUUUCAUAAAUAUAUUAAGCGUCUAAUUAUCAAACAAACUAAAUCACCAAUGAAUUAUAACAAAGUAAAACCAAAUGUAGGGUAUUUGACUAUUUGGUAUGUAACGUGGUUGUUGACUGUAAGCGACGGUCAACAACAAGAAGUCUACAACCCAUGCACCUGCUUAUAAAAAGGAGAACCCCUGUGAUUAUUUUUAUGUGUAGGAAAGAGAGUUACAUAUAGAUGGUGUAGAGAGAAAGAGAAAGGGAGAAUCAAAAUGGAUAAGAGGUGGUGUAUCUUGUUGGUUUUGGCUAUGGUCGUGGUUACAAGUGCAAGGAAUGUGCCGAGGGAAAGCAUUGGUUUGAACAAACAAAAUUGCACAUUUGCCAGUCAUCAUGUUAAUCAGAGUCAUCCUCCUAGUCAUAGUACUGGAGGCGGAAGCGGAAACGGUGCAGGUGCGGGUGCAGGUGCAGGUUCUGGUGCAGAAGCUGGUGCAGGUGCUGGUGCAGAUGGUUCGGGUUCAGGUGCUGGUGCAGGUGCUGGUGCUGGGGCUGGUGCUGGUGCAGGUGCUGGUGCGGGUGCUGGUGCAGGUUCUGGUGCAGGUGGCGGUGGUUCAGGUGGCCAUAAUGCUUCUAAUUCUGGUGGUAGCGGUGGUGGCGGUAGUGUAGGUGGCGAUAAUGAUGCUAAUUCUGGUGGUGGCAGUGAUGAUAAUGAUGCUAAUCCUGGUGGUGGUGGCGGUGAUGAUAAUAAUGCUAAUCCUGGUGGGGGCGAUGGUGGCGAUAAUGAUGUUAAUCCUGGUGGUGGCGGUGAUGAUAAUGAUGCUAAUUCUGGUGGUGGUGGCGGUGGUGUAGGUGGCGAUAAUGAUGCUAAUCCUGGUGGUGGUGGUGGUGAUAAUGAUGCUAAUUCUGGUGGUGAAGGUGGCCAUAAUGGUUCUAAUUCUAGUGGUGGUGGUGGUGGUGGUGGUGGUAGUGACGAUAAUGAUGCUAAUCCUGGUGGUGGUGGUGGCCAUAAUGGUUCUAAUUCUGGUGGUGGAAGCGGAGGCGGUGGCGGUGGUGUAGGUGGCGAUAAUGAUGCUAAUCCUGGUGGUGGCGAUGGUGAUAAUGAUGCCAAUCCUGGUGGUGGCGGUGGCCAUAGUGGUUCUAAUUCUGAUGGUGGAGGCGGUGGCGGUGGUGUAGGUGGUGAUAAUGAUGCUAAUUCUAGUGGUGGCGGUGGCCAUAAUGGUUCUAAUUCUAGUGGUGGAGGUGGUGGUAGUGACGAUAAUGAUGAUAAUCCUGGUGGUGGUGGUGGCCAUAAUGGUUCUAAUUCUGGUGGUGGAGGCAGUGGUGGUGGUGUAGGUGGCGAUAAUGAUGCUAAUCCUGGUGGUGGUGGUGGCCAUAAUGGUUCUAAUUCUGGUGGUGGUGGUGGUGGUAGUGACGAUAAUGAUGAUAAUCCUGGUGGUGGUGGUGGCCAUAAUGGUUCUAAUUAUGGUGGUGGAGACGGUGGCAGUGGUGUAGGUGGCGAUAAUGAUGCUAAUCCUGGUGGUGGUGGUGGCCAUAAUGGUUCUAAUUCAGGUGGUGGUGGUGGUAGUGACGAUAAUGAUGCUAAUCCUGGUAGUGGUGGUGGUCAUAAUGGUUCUAAUUCUGGUGGUGGAGGCGGUGGCAGUGGUGUAGGCGGCGAUAAUGAUGCUAAUCCUGGUAGUGGUGGUGGUCAUAAUGGUUCUAAUUCUGGUGGUGGAGGCGGUGGCAGUGGUGUAGGCGGCGAUAAUGAUGCUAAUCCUGGUAGUGGUGGUGGUCAUAAUGGUUCUAAUUCUGGUGGUGGAGGCGGUGGCAGUGGUGUAGGCGGCGAUAAUGAUGCUAAUCCUGGUGGUGGUGGUGGCCAUAAUGGUUCUAAUUCUGGUGGUGGUGGUGGUGGUAGUGACGAUAAUGAUGCUAAUCCUGGUAGUGGUGGUGGUCAUAAUGGUUCUAAUUCUGGUGGUGGAGGCGGUGGUAGUGAUGUAGGUGGCGAUAAUGAUGCUAAUCCUGGUGGUGAUGGUGGCCAUAAUGGUUCUAAUUCUGGUGGUGGUGGUGGUGGUGACGAUAAUGAUGCUAAUCCUGGUGGUGAUGGUCAUAAUGGUUCUAAUUCUGGUGGUGGAGGCGGUGGCAGUGGUGUAGGUGGCGAUAAUGAUGCUAAUCCUGGUGGUGGUGGUGGCCAUAAUGGUUCUAAUUCUGGUGGUGGUGGUGGUAGUGACGAUAAUGAUGCUAAUCCUGGUGGUGGUGGUGGUCAUAAUGGUUCUAAUUCUGGUGGUGGAGGCGGUGGUAGUGGUGUAGGUGGUGAUAAUGAUGCUAAUUCUGGUGGUGGUGGUGGUGGUGGUGACGAUAAUGAUGCUAAUUCUGGUGGUGGUGGUCAUGAUGGUUCUAAUUCUGGUGGUGGAGGCGGUGGCAGUGGUGUAGGUGGCGAUAAUGAUGAUAAUCCUGGUGGUGGUGGUGGCCAUAAUGGUUCUAAUUCUGGUGGUGGUGGUGGUGGUGGUGGUGACGAUAAUGAUGCUAAUCCUGGUGGUGGUGGUGGUGGUCAUAAUGGUUCUAAUUCUGGUGGUGGAGGCGGUGAUAGUGGUGUAGGUGGCGAUAAUGAUGCUAAUCCUGGUGGUGGUGGUGGCCAUAAUGGUUUUAAUUCUGGUGGUGGUGGUGGUGGUGGUAGUGACGAUAAUGAUGCUAAUCCUGGUGGUGGUGGUGGCCAUAAUGGUUCUAAUUCUGGUGUUGGAGGCGAUGGCAGUGGUGUAGGUGGCGAUAAUGAUGCUAAUCCUGGUUGUGGUGGUGGCCAUAAUGGUUCUAAUUCUGGUGGUGGUGGUGGUGGUGGUAGUGACGAUAAUGAUGCUAAUCCUGGUGGUGGUGGUGGCCAUAAUGGUUCUAAUUCUGGUGGUGGAGGCGGUGGCAGUGGUGUAGGUGGCGAUAAUGAUGCUAACCCUGGUGGUGGUGGUGGCCAGAAUGGAUCUAAUUCUGGUGGUGGAGGCGGUGACAGUGGUGUAGGUGGCGAUAAUGAUGCUAAUCCUGGUGGUGGUGGUGGCCAUAAUGGUUCUAAUUCUGGUGGUGGUGGUGGUGGUAGUGAUGAUAAUGAUGCUAAUCCUGGUAGUGGUGGUGGUCAUAAUGGUUCUAAUUCUGGUGGUGGAGGCGGUGGCAGUGGUGUAGGUAGCGAUAAUGAUGCUAAUCCUGGUGGUGGUGGUGGUCAUAAUGGUUCUAAUUCUGGUGGUGGAGGCAGUGGUAGUGGUGUAGGUGGCGAUAAUGAUGCUAAUCCUGGUGGUGGUGGUGGCCAUAAUGGUUCUAAUUCUGGUGGUGGAGGCGGUGGCAGUGGUGUAGGUGGCGAUAAUGAUGCUAAUCCUGGUGGUGGUGGUGGUGGUGACCAUAAUGGUUCUAAUUUUGGUGGUGGAGGCGGUGGCAGUGGUGUUGGUGGCGAUAAUGAUACUAAUUCUGGUGGUGGUGGUGGCCAUAAUGCUUCUAAUUCUGGUGGUGGCGGUGGUGAUAAUGAUGUUGGUGUUGAUGUUACUCCUGGUGUUGAUGUUGGUGGUGAAUGAGGAAUAUUUAGGGUUGUUAUUGGUGGAGGUGAGAAAGGAGUUUCAGGUGGUGGAGUCGGUGGUUUUAGUAUUGGUGGUCUUCUUCAACCUUGACAGUGCUAUAUGUCUGUAGUGCAUUUCCAC